ensembl:lncRNA
GAAUUUCUAUAAUAUUUAUAAAUGUUGUAUAAGUAACAUGCUAUAGGGUAUGCUAGUUGUUUAUGAUAAUUAAAGCAAAGUCAGUGAGUUAAAAACAGAGCAAAUGUAGUUAAGAUGUAAGUUAUGUGCUGUAUUCUGUGAAUCGAGACAGAUAUUUCCCUCUUUCUUUCUCUGUUUACAGUCUGUCAUUGUGGGCUGUAAUGGGCAGGAAGCUGCAGGAGUUGGCCCAGUGACAACCUCCAAAAGAGCCCUGAACCCCCUCCAUACACACACACCCCUCUGUCAGGCUGGGCCAGGAAGAAAAGCACUUCAUAGAGAACAAGAGGGAGGAAGACAGAGAAAGACUGCCUGCUCUGGCUAAUUAGUGACAGAGAUGGGAACAGGAACAGGAACAGGGAAGAGAGCUUCAGAGAAAAGGGUCUGCAAUAUCGUCCUUUCAUUUUCUCCGACACAAUUCCUGCUACUCUUUUUCCAGCCAUAAAGGCCAGACUGGAGGCUUCUUCUGGAAGGCACACACUCACAAGUGGGCACAGAUCUCAUUUACACUUGACAAACUGUAAUUCUGACAACGCAGUGUUUUUAAGAAAUUGGAGAGGAUGUUUUUAGUGCUUAAUUUGUGCCUCCAGAAUUGUAUCAGGAACCUAUUUUAAUGGAUCCCACUCCGACUCAUUUAAAAAAAAAAAAAUCUGUACAUAUGUAUGUUAGAUUAUUAAUUUUGUUAUUGUUAUUAUUAGCUUUGGCUAUGUUUGAAGUAUUUUUAGUGUGAACAAUAAUGACAGCUUAAAUUUAUAUAGGUUAUAGCUAAUUAAUUGUAUUUACACAUUCAUUAACCAUAAUACAGGUUUUCAGGAAAAAUAUUUUUAGUGCCUUAUCUGUACCAGAACCAGAUCCAUCUCCUCCAGAAUUGUCUCAGUAACUUUAAUUAAGGAUAAUUUCAUUUAAUGGAUCAUAAAAAAACCCUGUACUUAAGUAUGUUUUACAAUAAUAAUAAUUUUUAUUAUUAUUAUUUUAGCUGAUUGUCUAUUUUGGAUUUAAUGUUUGGGUGUGGGCAACUUGACAUUUUACAUUAUUUUGCUUAUUUUAAAUGUAAAUUUAUUUACAAACGCUCAACAUGUGCAAUGGAAAUUUUCAUCCUUGUCCAUCGUCUGCGCAAUUUAUAUUUUGACCAUUAAGUUAUGACCAAUAAAAUAUCUUUGCUGCAUGCA